AAUGAACGUUGGCGGCGUGGAUUAGGCAUGCAAGUCGAGCGAGAACCCGCAAGGGGGACAGCGGCAAACGGGGUAGUAACGGGUAGGCAACGUACCCUCGGGUCGGGGAUAGCCACGGGAAACUGUGGGUAAUACCCGAUAAUCUCUGCGGUGGUAAGUACUGCAGAGCAAAGGUGUGAUUCCACCGGAGGAGCGGCCUGCUUCGUAUUAGCUUGUUGGUGAGGUAACGGCUCACCAAGGCGACGAUGCGUAGGGGGUGUGAGAGCAUGACCCCCACCACUGGGACUGAGAUACUGCCCAGACACCUACGGGUGGCUGCAGUCGAGAAUCUUCGGCAAUGGGCGCAAGCCUGACUGAGCGACGCCGCGUGUGGGAUGAAGGCCCUUGGGUUGUAAACCUCUGUCAGAGGGGAUGAAAUGCGGGAGAGCUAUCUCUUCCGUUUGACAUAGCCUCAGAGGAAGCACGGGCUAAGUUCGUGCCAGCCGCCGCAGUAACAC
rnacentral:rRNA from 1 species